AAGAAGAGAAAUAAAA
rnacentral:sRNA from 1 species